rnacentral:misc_RNA from 1 species
GAUGAAGAACGCAGCGAAAUGCGAUAAGUAAUGUGAAUUGCAGAAUUCAGUGAAUCAUCGAAUCUUUGAACGCACAUUGCGCCCGUCAGUAUUCUGGCGGGCAUGCCUGUUCUAGCGUCAUUACGCCCCUCAAGUCCCCUGUGGACUUGGUGUUGGGGAUCGGCGAGGCUGGUUUUCCAGCACAGCCGUCCCUUAAAUUAAUUGGCGGUCUCGCCGUGGCCCUCCUCUGCGCAGUAGUAAAACACUCGCAACAGGAGCCCGGCGCGGUCAACUGCCGUAAAACCCCCCAACUUUUUAUAGUUGACCUCGAAUCAGGUAGGACUACCCGCUGAACUUAAGCAUAUCAAUAAGCGGAGGA